GAUGAACGCUAGCGGAAGGCUUAAUACAUGCAAGUCGAGCGGUAGAUAUGACUUCGGUUAUAUUGAGAGCGGCGCACGGGUGAGUAACGCGUACAUGACCUACCCAUAAGAACGGAAUAGCCCUGGGAAACUGGGAUUAAUACCGUAUGUGAUUAAAGAUGUUAGAGGUUUUUAAUUAAAGCUGAGGCGCUUAUGGAUGGAUGUGCGUCUGAUUAGCUAGUUGGUAAGGUAACGGCUUACCAAGGCGACGAUCAGUAGGGGGCGUGAGAGCGUGAUCCCCCACACGGGUACUGAGACACGGACCCGACUCCUACGGGAGGCAGCAGUAAGGAAUAUUGGACAAUGCCCGCAAGGGUGAUCCAGCCAUUCCGCGUGCAGGAUGACUGCCCUAUGGGUUGUAAACUGCUUUUAGAUGGGAAGAAAGUGUGAUACUUGUAUCAUUUUGACGGUACCAUCAGAAUAAGCACCGGCUAACUCCG
rnacentral:rRNA from 1 species